rnacentral:rRNA from 1 species
CCUACGGGAGGCAGCAGUGAGGAAUAUUGGUCAAUGGACGAGAGUCUGAACCAGCCAAGUAGCGUGAAGGAUGACUGCCCUAUGGGUUGUAACCUUCUUUUAUAAAGGAAUAAAACGAGGCACGUGUGCCUUUUUGCAUGUACUUUAUGAAUAAGGAUCGGCUAACUCCGUGCCAGCAGCCGCGGUAAUACGGAGGAUCCGAGCGUUAUCCGGAUUUAUUGGGUUUAAAGGGAGCGUAGAUGGGUUGUUAAGUCAGUUGUGAAAGUUUGCGGCUCAACCGUAAAAUUGCAAUUGAUACUGGCAGUCUUGAGUACAGUUGAGGGAGGCGGAAUUCGUGGUGUAGCGGUGAAAUGCUUAGAUAUCACGAAGAACCCCGAUUGCGAAGGCAGCUUACUAAACUGUGACUGACAUUGAUGCUCGAAAGUGUGGGUAUCAAACAGGAUUAGAGACCCUAGUAGUC